rnacentral:lncRNA from 1 species
UUUGCUGUACAUUUUAUUUACCAGCAAUACAGAUCCAACUUCUGAAGAGAAAAAAAAAAAAAAAAACCAUCUUCUAUAAGCCAAUAGAAGGUUGAAAAAGAAGAAAAAGAGAAAGAUCAUACUACCUUAGGGUACAAAAUUUAUAAAAUUUCAAAUUAGUAAAUACUAUACAAGAACAGCAAAAGCAAGAUCAAGACUCGAAAGAGACAUCUGACUGAUACCCAGUUGGAGUUGCUGGUGUUGAUGGGGUUGAAAUGUGGAAACCUCCAUUUUCUUUGUGCUUUUUGCCAUUUCCAGCAAUUGCAGCUGCAGAUCUGAUGAUGCCCUUGACGAUCUUGAUCUUGAUUUGUCCUCUCUUUGGGGGAAUGAUCUGGUGGGACGUGAUGGUAGAUUUAUUAGAUGCAGUUGAAUCCAUUUUCUCGGAAAAGGGUGGAUAGGACAAUGAAGACGAAAGAGAAAGUGAGAAAUGGAGAGGUGAUGAUUUGCUUAGUGAAGCAAAGAGAUUGGAGACUAUUAUAUAGAGCAUAGCUUCAGACAGAUAAAUCUAGUUCCUUGCCCACCAAGAUUUGACAAAGUCCUCGAGUCUGGAAGCCAUUGACAACGUGAUUAAUUUUUUUUUUUUAAAAAAAUAAAAUUCAAUUUCAAAAAAAUUGUUAUUACUAAAAGAAAUUCCUAUAUAAUUUGAAAUGAAUUUCAAAAAAAUUAAUUUAACAAUAUUUUUUAGAUAAAAAACCCACAUCAAAUUUGAACUUACAUGAAUAUCUAUUGAUGCUAUAAGAUCCAGCUAAAAUAGGAUUUACAUGAACAUCAAAUUUGAACUUACAUGAAUAUCCAUCAAAUUUUUUUAGCUUUUCUUUUGUUUGCUAGUGACGUCUAUCGGCCUUACUGUUACUAGGCCUCCUGUCUCUGUCAUACGAAUAUGUACGUAUAAAAGUAUCAGACGUCUACUCCAUGCUAAACGGCCAUUUAAUUUUUUCCAUGGCACGCGUGUAAAUAGAUCUACUAGGUGGAUGGGUCGGUUAUCCCCUCUCCUGCUAAGCCUCAUGACCGAGCUGGGGGUGAAGAGACUAAGGCCUAAGGGAGGCCCGAUCUCAAGGCCGAAUGGUCUGGGCUGGCCCAUUUAAGAGACUUCGUGAACCUUGUACUAGUGUUGUUAUCAUGGACUCGGCCUCGUAUCGAGGUGGUGAAACCCAGCGGUCAUCAAUUGCUCCUUUAUCUUCUCAUCAGUUAUUACAUAAAUGAUGAGGGGUAAAUAUCGAGAACUCAUUAUGACCGCGUGGUCCGAGGACUGUCCCUCUUAAAAUGUCUCUUCUUCUCUUUACUGUUUCAAAAUUCGAAUUUUCUUAGCCUUCACAGAACUCUUAUUCUUCUCUGUUCUCUGCGCGCUCCGCUUACUCUGUCCUUCUGCCCCCAUCGUUUUCAAGGUACACUUUUCACUUCACCAUGGAUAGCCCGAAACUUUCUGAUGUCAUUAAUUAAGAGUCUAGUAUUACUCCGUCCACCCUAAAAAAAUUCUUUUAUCGGGAGUAUCUGGAUACCCCUCUUUUCCAUAUCCGGACUCCCUAUAGGAAUGAGAAGAUCGUCCUUCCCGAUCUUCCUCCCUCUGGUCUAAUCGACCCUCAGAGGGACCGCAAUUUGGUCUUCUUUGUCAAACAACGAGAGUAUGGUUUAACCUUUCCCUUCUCCCCUUUUUUCAUUGAGGUCUUCCGGUAUUUCGGGAUAACCCCUCGGAUGUUGGCUCCUAAUUCCAUUCUAUUCAUGUACUCAUUCGAGUCUAUUUGCCUGAGCUGGGGGUUCACGCCCACAGCGCGUCUGUUUGUUACCUUCUUUCGGCUAGUUAGGGCGAGUCAGGACUUUUACUAUUUUGCCCCCUGCGGAGGGCUGUCCAUAUUUUCGGGUCACAAGGACUCAAUAAAAGGCUGGGUAGAGGGGUUCGCAGUGAUAGAGCUGAAAAAGGACUCCGGGUUGUCUUGGGAGGUGGAGCUCUCUUGGGAGGAUGUCCCUCUAGGCUGCAACGAUCUGCCCCAGCUAAGCCUUUCUGAACAAGUCGGGUACCUUCAACUGACUUCUGUUGAGAAGAAAUAUGAUGUCGAAAAAUGCAUGUUUAUGUCUAGUCUUCAGGACUGCAGGGAUGCAGGUAUUUUGCUUCGUUUAAUUGCUUUGUUUCUCUUUUCUUGAUUUUCCUCGAAUGCUUUUUUAACUUGUUUGGUUUUGGGUCUCUGCAGCUUCUCAAGUACCUAUGGACAAGAUCAAGCCUCCCAAGAAUUUUACUCUGUCUCGGGAGAGCAUGAAAGCCGCCCUGGAUGCUUUCCGAGUUGGGCGGUCCAUGUCUGAAGCUACUCAUGAGGUGGCCCAGGUCAUUUUCUCCAGGUCGGCGGGCCGAUCUGUUGCCCCAGCUCCAGUUCUAUCUCGAGCUCCUAAGCCGAGCUCUAGGGGUGUUAGGGCCUCCAAGCCUUCCAGCCGCAGCAGGUCUAGCUCUCUUCCUCGAUCUUCCUAGGCCUCCGGAUCCCAACAGACCUCUAUUGCGAGGACGGAGGCUGUGCCCAAGGUAACUGACAAGCUAGUUGAGGACCUGGGGCUUGCGAGGGCGGAUGCUGCUCCAUCUUUUGGGGAUGCCCUUGAGGAGAGGUUCGAGGUCUUUCCAACAGAAGGGGGGGGCUCCCGAGGGUGAGAUGGAGGUCGUCUCGACUGGUGAGGGUGUCUAAGAAGCUGGUGCCGAGGUCGCACCUGUCAAUAAGGGAAUCCCUAAGGAGAGGGCUAAGUCCAAGUCAGUUGAUGCUCUUCCUCACCGGAAGAAGACCUCGGCUGCCAGUGAGGUUGUUGCUAAGGAGGCCACUGGCAAGCGAGCUCUACCAGUGGGCCACCUGUCUCUGUCAUACGGAUACGUAUGUACAAAAGCGUCAGACAUCUGCUCCAUGUUAAACGACCAUUUAAUUUUCCCCCUGGCACGCGUGUAAACAAAUCUACUAGGUAGAUGGACCGGUUAUCACCUCUCCUGCCAAGGCAGGCCCGAUUUCAAGGCCAAAUGGUCUGGACCGACCCAUUUAAGAGAUUUCGUGAAUCUUGGACUAAAGCUGUCAUUAUGGGCUCGACCUUGUAUCAUGGUGGUGAAACCUAGCUGCCAUCACUUAUCAUAUUCACUUGAGCAAUUGGAGGACUUCCUGUAA